UUGCCGAAGCGGUCGAAGAGCGGCGCUCGCUACCAAACUCGGUCGAGAGUCGCGUUUUGCGAGGAAGCGAGCGCACGGCCUCUGCUAUCGGCACGACAGUGGUGGCAUUGCCCCGUAAAAUCGCGUCGCGACACACCUCACUCCGGUGACAGCAGCAGCAGCAGCGGCGGCGGCACAGUGAGCACAGCCCCCGCAAUGGCGAACGACGCGCAGGAACGGAGCGCACUCGAGCAGUUGAAGGCGGCCUUGAAGGAUAUCUGGCAAGAACAGUUCACCGACGCAUAUCUGCUCCGAUGGCUACGAGCCCGGGACCUCGACGUGGCCAAGGCCGAUGACCUUCUGCGCAAAAACCUGCGGUGGAGAGAGGAAAACAAGGUCGACACGGUGGUCGAGCGCUACGUGUGGCAUCCAAUCAUUAAGCAGUACUUUCCUGGCGGAAUAUUCAACCAUGAUCGAGAUGGCAGCCCAAUCUACAUCAUUCCAAUAGGCAGCGGUGACUUCAAAGGCAUGCUACAGUGCCUGUCCAAGGAAGAGAUGGUCACGCACGUGAUCUACAUGCUCGAGCGGUUGCAACGGGAAAGGGAGAGCCAGACCCGCAAGCUGGGAAAGCUUAUCGACAAGUCUGUAUUUUUCUUCGACUGGGAAAACUUCAGCCUCAAGCAGAUGUACUCUUGGCAAGUCGUGGACUACAUUCGAGCCCUGGUCGGUCUCUACGAGAACAACUACCCCGAGACACUCAAGCUUGGCCUUCUCGUCAACACACCCAGUUUCUUCCCAGUGUUCUGGAAACUUAUCCGACCAUUCCUGAGUGAAAGAACAGCCGGAAAGGUUAAAAUCUUCUCACGCGAUGGCUGGCUGCCGAGUCUGCUGGAGUACGUGGAUCCCAGCCAGUUGCCGGCCCAGUGGGGAGGCACCAUCGUGCACCCCGAGGGAGGCGCCCGCUGCACACACGUGAUUGGUCCCGGAGGAGAGCUUCCAGCCGCCGUAAGCAGAGGCGGUGGCGCGUUGGCUACCGACCCCGAGGCUGUCAGCUGCUUUGUGGAGCGUGGUCGGUGCCUCGAGGUGCCAGUCCAAGUCGAGGCGGCGGGUGCCAAACUCCACUGGCGGUUGCAGGCGAAGGACGUGGCCUUCGCGCUGUGGAGGAUCAGCGGUCAAGACCGCGUCCAGCUGCUCGCACCGCGGAGGAUCGCCUGCGACCGGGACCCGGAGUGCGGGCAGAUCCACUGCGAAGAGCCCGGAACAUAUACAUUCACGUUCGACAACAGCUUUAGCUGGUUCAACGGGAAGCAGCUCUCCUACAUCAUAAGAGUACAUCACGAAUCUAUAUCCAGCCCCGAGGAAGUCGCUAGGUGCUGAACAGAUUGGCCUGCCUCAAAGUCUGGCCUUGUACAGACGCUUCUGGCCAUGCUUGCUCACGAACAAACUUCUGGGAAGCAGCUAUCCUACGUCAUACGGGUACAUCACGAAUCUAUAUCCAUUCCCGAGGAAAUCGCUAGGUGCUGAACAGAUUGGCCUUCCUCAAAGUCCGGCCUUGUACAGACGCUCCUGGCCAUGCUUGUUGACGAACAAACUUCUGAUCUCGUUGUUUUAACAGAGCACAUUUUUAUUGAAAUGGCAAUAAAUCUGAGACUUCGUCAAGCCUUGGUAGGUAUUGACGACUAUUCCAUUUUACCCAUAAACUUUAAUUUUGAA